UCUGCUCAAUGAAAUAUUUAAAUAGCCGCAGAUUCUGUGCUAAGGUAGCAUAAUCAUUUGUUUUUUAAUUCAAAACUAGAAUGAAAGGCUUAACGUUUUAAUUACUUUAUUAUUUCUACUUAUUAAAUUUAUACUAAAUAUAAAAAUAUAUUUAUUUAUAAGACAGACGAUAAGACCCUAUUGAACUUUACUUAUGUUUAGCUGGGGCAGCUUAUUAAUUAAAACUUUAACUAAAAUAUUCAUUCAUAACAAAUCCAAUAUAAUUGAAUUAAUCAAGUUACCAUAGGGAUAACAGCGUAAUAUAAAUUUAAAGCUCUUAUUUAAAUUUAUGCUUGCGACCUCGAUGUUGAAUUAUUAUUCUUUAUAACGCAAUAGUUAUAAAAGUAAGUCUGUUCGACUUUUAAUAUAAUACA
rnacentral:rRNA from 1 species